UACGUAGGGCGCAAGCGUUAUCCGGAAUUAUUGGGCGUAAAGAGCUCGUAGGCGGUUUGUCGCGUCGGGAGUGAAAUCCACUGGCUUAACUGGUGGCUUGCUUUCGAUACGGGCAGACUGGAGGUAUGCAGGGGAGAACGGAAUUCCUGGUGUAGCGGUGAAAUGCGCAGAUAUCAGGAGGAACACCGGUGGCGAAGGCGGGUCUCUGGGCAGUAACUGACGCUGAGGAGCGAAAGCGUGGGGAGCGAACAGG
rnacentral:rRNA from 1 species